rnacentral:rRNA from 1 species
UGCUCGAGUGGCGAACGGGUGAGUAAAACGUGAGUAACCUGCCCUUGACUUUGGGAUAACUUCAGGAAACUGGGGCUAAUACCGGAUAGGAGCUCCUGCUGCAUGGUGGGGGUUGGAAAGUUUCGGCGGUUGGGGAUGGACUCGCGGCUUAUCAGCUUGUUGGUGGGGUAGUGGCUUACCAAGGCUUUGACGGGUAGCCGGCCUGAGAGGGUGACCGGCCACAUUGGGACUGAGAUACGGCCCAG